rnacentral:rRNA from 1 species
CGGAACGGGUGGGUAACGCGUGAGGAACCUGCCUCAAAGAGGGGGACAACAGUUGGAAACGACUGCUAAUACCGCAUAAGCCCACGGCUCGGCAUCGAGCAGAGGGAAAAGGAGCAAUCCGCUUUGAGAUGGCCUCGCGUCCGAUUAGCUAGUUGGUGAGGUAACGGCCCACCAAGGCGACGAUCGGUAGCCGGACUGGGAGGUUGAACGGCCACAUUGGGACUGAGACACGGCCCAG